rnacentral:tRNA from 1 species
GCCUGAGUAGCUUAAACGUAAAGCAUUACAUUGAAGCUGUAAAAAUGAUUUUUAUCCUCAGGCA